GGCGAGAUGGCCGAGCGGUCUAAGGCGCCAGACUAAGGCGGUUACUUCGUACGAAUCUCCAGCAAUCUGGUCCGAAAGGGCGUGGGUUCGAAUCCCACUCUCGUCA